rnacentral:rRNA from 1 species
GUCUUCGAGUCGUUGAUUUCACACUGCCGAGAAAAGCCUCUAGAUAGAAAAUAGGUGCCCGUACCGCAAACCGACACAGGUAGUCAAGAUGAGAAUUCUAAGGUGAGCGAGCGAACUCUCGUUAAGGAACUCGGCAAAAUGACCCCGUAACUUCGGGAGAAGGGGUGCUCUUUAGGGUUAACGCCCAGAAGAGCCGCAGUGAAUAGGCCCAAGCGACUGUUUAUCAAAAACACAGGUCUCUGCUAAACCGUAAGGUGAUGUAUAGGGGCUGACGCCUGCCCGGUGCUGGAAGGUUAAGAGGAGUGGUUAGCUUCUGCGAAGCUA